CUAAAGGAAUACAAGAGUUGCAUUCAAUGAAUGUCUUGGUUCUGAACCUUAAGCCAACUAAUUUUCUUCUGAAUGAACAUGACGAAGUGUUCCUUGGUGACUUUGGGAUUCCGUAUCUUCUUCUUGAAGUUCAACCACCUGAUUCAGAUCUAGCAUUAAGGCUUGGAACUCCAAACUAUAUGGCUAGACUUUGGGAUUCUGUAUCUUCUUCUUGGAGUUCAACCACCUGAUUCAGAUCUAGCAUUAAGGCUUGGAACUCCAAAUUACAUGGCUCCUGAACAGUGGGAACCUGAGGUUAGAGGCCCAAUAACUUGCGAGACUGAUGCUUGGGGAUUUGGAUGCAGCAUUAUUGAGAUGUUGACUGGC
rnacentral:lncRNA from 1 species